rnacentral:hammerhead_ribozyme from 1 species
AUCCAUCUGAAGAGCCCCGAAUAGGACGAAAAGCGCAUCCUGGAU